rnacentral:lncRNA from 1 species
GGGGGGAGGGGGCCAGGCAGCCGUUAGACAGCACAACCGAACCCAACACCGGGGCCCAACGGCAGGGGCUUGGGCAGGAGCAAGGUCCGAGGGCUGCCAGGUCCACGCUGCUUUUAUGAGCUGUAACACUCACCGCGAAGAUCUGCAGCUUCACUCCUGAGCCCAGCGAGACCACGAGCCCACCGGGAGGAACAAACAACUCCAGACGCGCUGCCUUAAGAGCUGUAACACUUGCCGUGAAGGUCUGCAGCUUCACUCCUGAGCCAGCGAGACCACGAACCCACCAGAAGGAAGAAACUCCGAACACAUCUCAACAUCAGAACGGACAGACUCCAGACGCACCACCUUAAGAGCUGUAACACUCACCGCGAGGUUCCGCGGCUUCAUUCUUGAACAAUGAAUCCUCCAAUGUACCUGACUCUCCCUUUGCGAAGAGCAUCUCCGUGGCAGAAAUCUGAAAAUGCCCCUGGGGAGACACAUGCACAAGACAAGCUAUCAGCUUCCCAGUUUGCACAAUUCAUCAAGAAAUUAUGCGGGGUCACUGGCACAAAUGAUGAGGCAUCUCCUGGAAGCUUAACUUCUUAUCCAUCCCAUCUCUUGGACAGAUGAUGCCAGUUAAUUACUUUGAAUCCAAAAGAGACCUGCCAGCUACAGUCAGCAUCGGUCAACCAUCUGUGAAACUGUGAGCUGACAACUUGUCCCCUCCCGGCGAAGGCCACAACAUCCCAACACCAUUAGUCACCAAGGAAGUCUGGGAGAAGUUUCUACCAACUGUAGCGAAAAAGGUGCAAGGGAGGAAACAUUUUGUUACUGCUGGCCCACUCUUCCCUCCGAAACAGCGCGGCAGCAUCUGGCAGAAAGAAAGUACAAGGGACUUCUAAGUGGGCAAUGCUGCCCCGUGCCCUCCAGACUUCUCAUCCCAGCAGGGCAGCAGCACAUGGCGCCCUGGGACAGGAGGCCUGCCGGGGCGUGGGGGCGGAGGCUGAGCUCCUGGGGGCACCACUUUAUGAGGAACCAUUUAUGGCCAAAACUCUACAGGGGCUUCAGGGACCUGAAUGAAUGCGUCUCUGUAGAGUGAGAGUCCUGGGCAGGAGGAGAAGUUUCCAUAGCUCAGGACCACAUGCUGGAAAUUUGGUCUCUGCAGCUUAAAAUCUGAGAGAAGAUGGUGUCUGCAGCAUUCAAAGGGGGACCAGAGGGACCCUCCACCCCCAGCUCCCCAGCUAUGACAAACAUGAGCUCUGGGUAGAUUCCUAUCCAUUCAAAGAACUGGAAAAGCCAAGCUGGGGCCCAUGAGUCAAGUCUGGAUGUGCGGCUCAGGGCAAGAGGACAGAUGGAUGCCACAGGCCGUCUGUCUAAAUAUUUGCAAGUUAUAAAUUAAACUAACAGGGUGUUAAAUAAAGUAUAUUCUAGCCUCA